rnacentral:rRNA from 1 species
CUCGGAGUUUGAUCCUGGCUCAGGAUGAACGCUAGCGGCAGGCUUAACACAUGCAAGUCGAGGGGUAUAGUUCUUCGGAGCUAGAGACCGGCGCACGGGUGCGUAACGCGUAUGCAAUCUACCUUUUACAGAGGGAUAGCCCAGAGAAAUUUGGAUUAAUACCUCAUAGUAUGUGAGAAUCGCAUGGUUUUCACAUUAAAGUCACAACGGUAAAACGAUGAGCAUGCGU